AGCUUAUGCUAAUGCACUAUAUGAAGAAAUGAUUGAUCGACUCAAGGCAAGUGGUUUAGAGAAACUUGCUCAGCAGCAAGUGGAUGGAGUGGUCCGGCAAAGCGAAGAUGGUGCUGAGUAUUUUGUGGAAUCGACCAUUCCCACUGCAUGCAGGCACAAAAUUACAGCUCAUGAGGGUGGCUGUGCUUCUAUAAUGUUUGAGUAUAACUCAAGCAAAGUGAUCAGUGGCGCACAGGAUCAAUUAGGGGAGAGCAGAUUUUGGUUUAAACUAAAAAGUUGAACCAAACCUAGUCAAUUCGAUUCAAUCGGUUUGGUUUUAAAAUUCAAUCUAUUCGAUUCGAUUUAUACUUUUAAUAAUUUCGAUUAAUCUGUUCGGUUCUGUUCGGUUAUUUUCAUAAAAAAUA
rnacentral:misc_RNA from 1 species